UACGGGGGGGGCAAGCGUUGUUCGGAAUUACUGGGCGUAAAGGGCUCGUAGGCGGCCAACUAAGUCAGACGUGAAAUCCCUCGGCUUAACCGGGGAACUGCGUCUGAUACUGGAUGGCUUGAGUUCGGGAGAGGGAUGCGGAAUUCCAGGUGUAGCGGUGAAAUGCGUAGAUAUCAGGAGGAACACCCAUGGCGAAGGCAGCUAACUGGGCAUUAUCUGACGCUGAGGCGCGAAAGCGUGGGUAGCAAACAGG
rnacentral:rRNA from 1 species